AAUUGCAGGAGUUAAACAAGGACUUAACCCGAAAGCUUGAAGCUCAAACACAAAGAUCGGAGCUUUUGACUGCUCAAAGCAUGGCAACUGGUAAUAACCAAACAAGGCUACCAGAUGCUUUAUCUGUGCAGGACAGCACCACAUAUGCUGAUGAAGGUGAUGAGGUGGUGGAACGGGUCUUGGGAUGGAUAAUAAAGCUAUUCCCUGGAGGACCAUCAAAGCGGAGAACCAGCAAUCUUAUUUAGUUCAACGAGUUUUGUACAUCAUAUAAGCUCUUUUUGCUCCUCCGCGCCUUGUAUUUUUGGUAGCCAGAUGGAGAUGGUUUUCGUGUUCUAUUAAGUGAUUCAUAGUCCUAAUUCAUUUCCCAGAAGAAGCAAAUUGCUUCAAAGAGGUAUUUAGAAGAAAUGAUUGAUUACUUCACAG
rnacentral:misc_RNA from 1 species